GGCGGGCUCCGGGCUGGGGUUAAAUACCCCGGGGGGCAGCGCCCUGCCUCCCUACUCUUGCCCGGCGCCUGAGCCCACGGACAUGCAGAACGCGGCGAAGUUGUGCUAGUCGGCUACUCCCAGCUCCUCCUUCCCUAGGGUUCCAAUACUCAGAAAGCCUCAAGCUGGGUUCUCUGCAUGUAAAGUCUGCCCAGAGAAUGCAAAUUAUUGGCCAGAGCAAAAGAAAAUCAAGAAGAAAAAGUCUACUAAAAAGCGCCAUUUACUGAACAUUUCGUAUGUGUCCUCAUCUAAUCUGUACAAUGACCCAGUGAAGAAUUUAGGAAAGGUCAGCUGAGUACACAGCCAGAAGGUGCCCAUCUGCUACCCAAGGGUAAAGUCUCAGCAGAAACCAAUUGUACUGGCAUCCUGAUCUUAAACUUCCAGGCUCCAGAAUGGCCCCUCAAAAUACUUCUGGAACAACAUGAGGACUGAAGAUCCUGGAAACUGUCCCACCAUCCUCCACCAGUGACAGCUCUACUAUUCCAGCAACCAAAACAGGUCUGCUUCCCUGGCCUGGAGUUCCCUGAUUCCAAAAAGAAAAAAAUCCUGAUUUUGUAGUAUUUCCCCUGAUAUAUAAAUAUUGCUUUUCCUGGCCCUAAUGCCUAGCCUCUUACAUCCAACUUUCAUUGAAUGGCUGGUGGGUGGCAAGGUCUGGGAACACAAAGCCAGUUACAGCCUGGCUCCAGCCAUCAUGGGGCACCCAGAGCAGAGGACCAAGUGACCUCUCAAGGCAGCUGUCCCAUGACCCUGUUUUCCUGAUGGAAAAGCCACACUGCUGUCUUCCCCCACAGUUCCCCUCAGAUCUGCAGGUUCUCACUGAGCAACUAUUACCUGUCAGCUAUGGUCUUAGGCUUGCUGAGGACACAGUAAAAAGUGAGAUCCUUCCAGUCUUCAGGAGUUAAUAGCUGGAUUUGCAGGGAGAGGAGGCAGUGCAGAGCAGGUGCAAGGCAAGUACCCCAAACCCUGUACUGUCAGGCAGAAUAUAAGGCCUCUUCUUGCUAAGCUGUGUCUUUAAAAACAAAGCAAAAAGUAAAUAAAGACAAAGUCUUUUCUUUUCUCUUUUUUUGAGAUGAAGUCUCGCCCUGUCGCCCAGGCUGGAGUGCAAUGGCACGAUCUCGGCUCACUGCAACCUCUGCCUCACAGAUUCAAGAGAUUCUCCCAUGUUUAAGAGAUUCUCCCACCUCGGUCUCCUGAGUUGCUGGGAUUACAGGCGCGCACCACC